rnacentral:lncRNA from 1 species
CCCCUCCCGCGGCGCGAGCGAGAGAACGCAACAAAACAAAACAAACUCGUGCCGGCUUCCUGUUGUGCAACCACUUUCUGAGCCGGGUGUUGGAAGGAGGGUGGACUUUGGAAUCAGAAAACCUGGAAAUCUCAACUCCACUACUUACUCCAAAGACGAGAGGUUGUACCCUGGCCCAUUGAGGACUUCAAUCCUGCUACCUGAGGCUUUGUAAAGAGCAGGGCUCCAGGGAGCUUGUGAUUUGAUCAGUGAACAUGGAGGCUUGAUAUCAGAACUGCUUAGAAGUUUUUCAGGUCUCCAGCAGAAGGUGUGGCCCAGAUUAAAGGUGUGUACCACCACACCUGGAUCUGGGACUUGCUUUGUCCCAGAUGACCUUGAGCUCAGAGAUCUCCUUGCCUUAGUCUCCUGGGAUUCAUAGCCACUAUGCCUCAAGAUCUCCAGGCCAAGAUCCAGGUCAGAAACUUCUCUCUCUCAGUCUCAAGAUCUGGAUCACAGGGCCGAACAUUACCCCACUUUGGAGAGUUCGGUGCAUGCUGAUGACGAGUGGAUGUAUCACAAAUACACACCAGGGUAUGAAAAGACUUCUGUUGGAAGCUACCAAGUGUCACUGUAAGAAGAGGCACCAUCUUAUCCUGGUUGUUAUACUAAUUCUCUACAGGUUCUGUGACAAAGUCUGAUAGACUGCUGACUUCAGACAACAGGAUACAUCUUCUUGCAGCUCAAGAGGCUGAUUUACUCCAAGGAUUUCUCAUGCCCUUUGGAGUCCUAUCCUGUCCCUAAUUAGUCUAGUAGAAACUCUGAAAUCCCACCUUUGUCUCAAUAUCUUAAAACAGAACUCCCACAAAGGAAGACAUAUCCCAAAUCAAUAUCAUAGAACAGACAUGCCUUGCUAGAAGUCCUCUGUCACCCUUGAGACCUUUCACCCUCAAACCUGGUGUUCUGAGGCAAAGAUCGUGCUCUGACUCUCAGCAUCUGUUACUGACUUCAACUUCGCUGUGGAAGACUCCCUCCAAUGGUUUAGUUGAGUACAAGACUAACCAGCUAAAGACAGGAUAUAAUAAUGUGUAAUAUAACAUACAUUCAUAUGUAAUAAAAAUUAUUCCUGUUUGCUUGAUAGCUGGAUAUGAUCUUUUUAGGAAAUGUAUUGAAGCAUAUGCUAGACACUAGACGCUGUACUCUGAACCUUAUUCACAGCAGUAUCAGUAUCUGUGGAAUGGACAUCUCUUUAUUAUUGUUGGGAUUAUCAGGAGGCUCCUGGGUCAUGUCAGUAAUUUUGUUUUCUUGCUAAUGUUUACAGUUUCAUGUGUCCUCAGUUGUGUGACUUCUCCUGGGGCAACAGAAACAAACAUCCAUUAACUUACUCUAAAAUAUGGCAUCAACAAUAGACCA